GUUGUCUCUAUGAUCUAUCCUCUCCUUCUCACGAGUCACGACCGUAUCGGCCGCCGCCGCCCUCGCUACAGCCCGCCGUCGCCUUAUCCCCACUCGCUGGUGCGGAUCCGCCGCCGUCGCGCCCCUCACUCCGCUCGCCGCUGCCUCCGUCUACGCGACGCUCCUGCCUCCCUUCACCUUCCCAACUUCCCUUCCGAGCUCCGCCAGUGUCCAAGCCCUUGCUCUUCACCUUCCCAGCCUCCCUUCCGAGCUCCGCCAGCUUGAUGGCUCAUCAGACCUAUGGACGGUGCUACGUUGAGCGAUCGACUGGCAUCCUGCUCAGCCCUGCCGUCAAGCGCAUCCUAUGGGCUCGCCAUCUGGCGCUCCCCGUCAUCAGACUCGUGAUGGGUGAUGGGGUGGAUCGUCUGACACGCCUGGCGAUCCACCGGAGAAGGAUUUGGAGAGAAGGUUGAGCGGCAUGCAGGUGUCCUCGGUUGCCAAGACUGCAGCCAUGGUUAUGGAUGGAAUUUACCUUUUCUAAUCUAUUACAUGAAUAGUCCAUGAGUCCCCUUACGUGAGGUCAAUUUUGUAGAUUGUUUCAAUAUAGCAGAAAGAGGCCAUGACGUUGAUAUGAAUUAAGUUAGUCCCAGAGUGCCAAGACUAGCGAUGGAAUUUACUUUGCAUGGCUGUCACGAGAUAAAAGGAGGCGGUGGACGGGAGAGAUUCAACCGGAGUUGCCACAUUACCGGUAGAUUGCAGGAAGCAUUACAUGUAAGAAAAAAGUUUGAUCCUUUGUCUAAUUGACUUUGCAUUAUCCAAUAUGAUUAGCUGGUGACAUGAGGGAGAGGGGGAUAGACCCCUUUGGCUACUGCACACAAUGUGCUACUCAUAUUCCACUUUUAGGCGAUAAGCAGCUUUAGAAUUCAGAUCCCUUUGAUUUACAUUUCAAAUCAUCUUGCUGCAACUUGGUAGUAAACAACCAUUUUUGGUCAUCUUAUACAGAUUUGUUUGGUUCUUCUGUUCGUAUAUGUCUUUUCAAUUUUACUAUAUGCUAACAGAAGAAAAAUGUAGAUAGUUUGAACACAUGUUUAUUCACCUAGAUGUUCUACAUGAAGAAAGAGCAGGAUAAACACCAUUUGUUGGUAGUCUUUCUAUUUGUCCUUAAUUAUUUGUAUUCUACACUAAUAUAGCAAGGUGAAGCCUAAUCUUUACUCUGGGUCACCGAUAGAAGUACUGGUGUAUACACAUCGAAGGUACACAAUGAACUUUUUGUAGUUCUUUUUCUUAUGGGAACUUUUCGUACGUCUUUGUUGUGAUAUACGCCCAUCUCGAAUUUCAUUUUAGGUCUACUUAUUUUAGCUCAGCUAGGUGUUGACAGUAAGAAACACUUGCAAAUAUAUGUCUCUUGUGUAUAUAAAUAUAUGCUCGCUCUACAAGUAUAAUGGAGACAAUGAUCACAGUAAUUUAAUCUGCUAUUUAGUGUACAAUAUUUUAUUCAUAAGAAGAGGUAGUUAUACACUGAAUUGCGGUUAUAUAUCUGAGUUAAGAAAAAAAUAUUAGUCUUCCUCUAUAGAGGUAUGUUGCCUUGCCGAGGCUGCUCUGCUUUUGCUAAUUUGCUGCUCUUUUGUGCUAUACUGCUAUUCCAUAUACAGAGAGAUCAGAGAAGAGAACAGCAACCCGUUACUACUGAUUUUUCAUGCUGCUACUCGCUUACCGUUACACAUCUACAUACAGAAGGCUGCUGCUUGCUGAUUACAAUUCAUUCAUGAUAGGUAGAUAUGUAUGCUUAUGCUUGGUACAUGUGAACAGGGGGACAAGGAAUGGAAGCUGCAGCGGUAGAUACGUGACUCCAGCCACCCAUUGACUAGCACAGUUUUGAAAUUCAUGCUGGCGGACCUUUUUUACCUAUGCGUGAUCAUUAGGUCAAGUAUGCCAAUUAUAAGGACAACAUCAAGCCAUUUGAGAGUAGGGGUCCAACUUCCCUGGAGGUGUGAUUUUUCUGUUACAGACUGAGGUGAGUUGAGUUGAUUUGUUGCUACUGCUAUUCGUGGUUAUCAGCAUGUUCCUACGCCAACCCUGGCAGGCUGCAACCUAUUUGUGGCUCGGCCAUGCCCACUCCCUGUGCUUCUUGCUCGUACCAGCAGUGAAGACUCUAUAAAUACAUGUCAUUCUAUUAUCCAAAAUCCAAUGGCAGAAGGAAGUGGUGUCAAACAACAUGUUGCUUGAUGAAGGACCAAGAUAGUUGAAGAGGAACAUGAAGCGGUAUAGAAAUUCCUAUGGAGGCCGAGCAUCUUGUCAGUCCGUUUAUAUUGACCAGAUUAGAAAAAUCACAGCGUAAAAACUUGAAUCUUUUCCACAAGCCUUUGAGCAACAUGUGCUAUCCAUGGCCUGAUGCCAUAAUAUAUAUGGUUUUGUGCUAAAACCAUUUUUAGAUGUAAAGUUCAAACAAGGUGGAAGUGGUUUUAUGAAGAAUUUUGAGGGCCGUCAAAAUUAAGUGUUAUCAAUAGUGCACCACAACAGUUGCAUUUUUAAAUACACACAAACUGUCAAACUUUUUUUUAGGAUCACAAACUGUCAAACUUAUUGUGUACCCGUUGCAACGCACGGGCCCUUUUGCUAGUAUUUAUCUUAUCAUACUAUCUCUAUCAGAUCUCACUUUCGCAAGUGGUCGUGAAGGGAUUGACAACCCCUUUAUUACGUUUGUUGCGAGUUCUUUGUUUGUUUGUGUAGGUGCGUGAGACUUUUGAGGAGCCUCCUACUGGAUUGAUACCUUGGUUGUCAAAAACUGAGGGAAAUACUUAUGCUACUAUUGUUGCAUCACUCUUUCCUCUUCAAGAAAAAUCAACGCAAGCUCAAGAUGUAGCAAAAAGGAUUUCUGGCGCCGUUGCCGGGGAGGUCUUCGUUCAAGACAUACCAAGUACACAUCGUAAACUCAUCUCUCUCGCAUUUACAUUAUUUGUCAUUUGCCUCUCGUUUUCCUCUCCUCCACUUCACCCUUGCCGUUUUAUUCACCCUCUCUUUUCCUCUCUCUUUCUCUUUCGUUAGCCUUUUUCUUCUCCCUCGCUUUUGUUUGUCGUUAUGUUUAAAAUUAGGGAGAUUAUUGUUGAUAUGGAAAAUAAUGAUAACAUGAAAAAUUCUAAGGCUCCGGCUGAAGAACCCCUAUCUUGCAUACUAAAAAGUUUCGAAUCGGUAGUGGUAACAUUAUUGAAAAAGGUGUUAUUCAAGAUUUCUUUACUUGUGCCGGUGCUUUACCUUCCAUGAGUGAUUCUAUUCUUCAUAGAACUAGUAGUCUUGUGGAUGCUAUCGCUAUGCUUGUAGUUGAACUUGAAAUACAAUUUAUGCAUAUGCAUCCUUGUAUACAAAGAAUUUUCCUAGAAUUUUCUAAUAUUGAGCAUUCUUCUGUUAAGCGCAUUGUUACUAUCUUUUUGGCUCAUGAGUUUAGAUUUAUAAUAGGAGAGGCAAAAUAAAUCUUUGCGCACUAUAGGGUGGACGUCGGUCGUCCUCCCAUAGAGGCGGUCCUCUUCGAUCAGGAGGAAAUUAGGCAUUUUCAAUCCUCGGACUAUGUUGCUUUCAAUGAAAAUUUUAGAAAAAAGAUUCCUACCAAUGUCCUAGUUGAUAGAAUUUCCGAACUUAAUAAUGAUUUUGCUCUUCGAAAUAAUGAGCUAGGAUACUCUCUUGAGUAUAUGCUCACAAGAUUUUGCCAAAAGAAUGCUUAUAGUGAUGAAUUAGUUGUUCAUUAUGAAGGG